AAAAUCGAGCUUACAAGGUAUA
rnacentral:miRNA from 1 species